UACGGAGGGUGCAAGCGUUAUUCGGAAUUAUUGGGCGUAAAGGGCGCGUAGGCGGCCGAUUAAGUCAGGUGUGAAAUCCCGGGGCUUAACCCUGGAAGUGCAUUUGAUACUGAUUGGCUUGAGUAUGGGAGAGGGGAGUGGAAUUCCUGGUGUAGAGGUGAAAUUCGUAGAUAUCAGGAGGAACACCGGUGGCGAAGGCGACUUCCUGGACCAAUACUGACGCUGAGGCGCGAAGGUGUGGGGAGCAAACAGG
rnacentral:rRNA from 1 species